AAUUAAAAAAGCCCAUAAAAGUCGGCCUAACCUACAAGCCCAAACCUAAAAAAAACCCUAACCUUAUAAACACCUAAACCCCUUAUUUUUCAUUUAUCCACUCAUAAACAACACACCCACCUACAAAUCUACAAUCUCUCUCUCCCACUCUCAAAGAUUCCGUCCAACCGCCGUCGGAAACGGACUUGAGCCGCCAGAAACCGAAGUUCGCUUCCGGAAACAGCGACAUCCACCACCACCCCACCAUCUCCAUCUUAUUUACAAACAUAUUAACUUUCUCCCUCCACUUCUUUGCAACCUUCGACCACCAACUUACCGGAAAAUUCAUCCGAGAAAGUCUACUGCCGGAAGAAAGCCCAGCACCGCCGCAAAUGUCUUGCCACUUGUUGUAUACACCGCCACUCACCACACCAAACACCGGACGACCACCACUACACCACCGUGCCGGACUAAGUAUUCCUUUAUUUGUCUUAUUUUGAUAUUUAUUAUUUUUUUCUUUGUUUUAUUUAUUAAUAAUUAUAAAUAUAUAUCAGAUCUGUAAAUGUUUUUCAGUUUUAAUAAUUUUUGAAUAUUUCAGAUGUAUUGGAGGAGCAAGAAUGUGGGGAUUUUAUAUAUAUUUCAUUGUUGUACAAUCUAUCAUAUAUGUAAUUUGUUCUUAAGUUAUUGUUCAUGUAUUUAGUGUAUUGUGAAUGUUUGAUUUGAUGUAAAAUAUUUGAUUGUUUGAUUGAAAGAUAUAUUAGAUUUGUGGAGUUGUUCAUGACUGAAAUAAAUAAAUAUAUUUUUUUAAUAAA